rnacentral:tRNA from 1 species
AGCUCAGUGGUUAAGAGCACUGGCUGCUCUUCCAGAGGACCUGGGUUCAAAUCCCAG